GUGUUUGUUUCGGCAGCACAUGUACUAAAAUUAGGAUGACGCAGAGAAGAUUAGCAUGGCCCCUGCUCAAGGAUGACAUGCACAUUCAUAUAGUGUUCGCUAAUUUU